UUAGUCCAUGAUUUGACAAUGUGUUGCUACAGUAAAUAUUUGCUAAUGAUGGAUUAAUUAGGCUUAAUUAGGCUUAAUAGAUUCGUCUCGCCGUUUAGAUUCCACUUAUGUAUGUUCAUGUGGGUCGCUGUUCCAUUCAGAACAAAUUGUGUCCAAAGUAGAAUUCCACUACAUACCGAUAAUCUUUUUUGUAUAACAUCGAUGAAAUUGCUGCAGAAAUAACAGUGCUUCAAUUAUGAUUCUUCCGGUCUCUCAUCAACUUCUAUUCUCAUCUAUAAUUUCCAUUGUCUGCCUGCUAAAUUGGCGAAUGAUUACAUACCUGAAUGCAUGUCCUUUCCCUAAGUGAUCGAAAAUACAGGUCACUACGUAGAAGCAGUGAUCAGUGCAUAUUAGAGGAACUUUGGAUCAAUGGAUGAGAACUACAAAGUGCACUCGGUGGGAUGUUGGUGUUCCAGAGCUGAGCUCUUUGGAUGGUUCAUCAGGACGGUUGGAUGUUCACCAAGCAGAAAGAUUGGAAGAGAUGGUGGAGAAUGCCUUGGCAAGUUGAUUAGGCCUUGCCAAAUGUACUCAAAACUCUGGUUGCCCAUACCUCUUGAUGGUUUCAGUUUUGUUCCAGUGUUCACUUGAUUCAUUCAAGAUAUCAAGUAAUGAUAUAAAGAUCCUAUUAAUUACCAACAGUGAUAAUGAUUUAAUUGACAUUUCAGGAAAGUUCAGCUUCGUGGCUCGCCAUGUCUGAUUUGAUCCAUUGGUUCCCUGCAUAUUUUCUUCUCUGAAUGAGCUCAAACGUGUCUCUGCAAAAUGCAAAGUUUUUUUUUUCUGAAGCAGUAGUGUCAGACUGCAGCAUUUCAGUCCAGUUUGGCGUAGCAAAUUACAGAAGGUAUGUGGAAAAGGGAAGGUAAAAUAUGAAACGUCUAUUCUGGAGAAUUAUCAUUAUCGUCAUCAGCUAGGUGAUUUUUUUUCUUCAAAUCAUAGCUCAAUCUCAUAUUUGGAUAGCUGCAUAGAUCAGACCAUUAUCCCUGUUAGAUGUAUUUGGUAUUUUACCUUUUUCUAUUAGGGGGUUUUGUGUAUAUUUCCCCCUCCUUGUACAUGUAUAUAUAUGGGCCUAGUGCCCCUGUUAUGAAUACAAGUGCUAUUCCUAACAUGGUACAAAGUCAAACUAGGGUUAGGUUUCUUCUCAAUCUGCCCUAGGGUUUUUUUUCCAACGCACGUUGUACUUGCGUGCUCUUCUCACCCGCCAGAUCUGUCGCUUCUCCACUCGCCGCCUCUGCUGCUCGUCCCUCGUCUCUGGUCUGGAAACCGCCGGAUCCGCCACUCGUCUCCCCGGUGCCGCGCUUGGGACUCGUCGCCUGCCUGCGCCACACCUACGGCCACCACUCGUCCGACUCUCCACCCGCCCGAUUUGCCGCCCGCUCGUCGUUGCCGCCCGCUUGUCGCUGCUGCCCCUAGCCCCGUCGCUUGCUCAUCAUCGCUGCCAGCCCCUGCUGCCUGCUCGCCGCCGCUGGCCGCUCGUCGCCGCCGCCGGCCGCCAAUCCCUAACAAUCCCUACAUUGUUUCUUCAGAGAAAGCAACAAAAUCCUAUAAUCUGAAGUAUUAUAUUAGUUUGCAUCUUGGUGUUAUCCUUCUCAAGGAAACUAUGAAAUCCUAUAAUCUGAAGCAUUAUUUCACUUUGCAUCCAUGGCCUUAUCCUUCCCAAGUUAACUUCAAAUCUUAUACUAUGAAAUACUUUCCAUCUGCAUCUUGGUCUUAAUACUUCUAAAAGUAGCCCAGUACUAUAGAGCUUGUCUUCCUCUUACGUAGUCUGAACUCUGAAAUUUUCAGUUAUUGUGCUUCUCACUUAAUUAACUUAUUAAGUAUGAGGAGUACGAGAGUAAUUUGGUAGAAUAGGGUAAGCUCUCAUUACAAUAGAAUACGGGUAAUGAUAUCUCUAGCUCUGAAGAAAAUGAAAAGACUGAAACUCUCAUUCCACAUGCCUUUUUUUUCAAGCUGCUAUAUAUUGCGUACCAUCAUGCUAGCAGUUCUAUGAGAACAAGAUAUAGAUGUAGGUAGCUUGUAUAUAUCUUGUCUAAAUAAAUUGGUAUUUGUCUCUGAACUUUGUAUGUGCAGUAUAAAAUCUUGCAGACAAUUGGUUUGAUAUGAUUGUACAAGAUCACCAUGUACAGGAAUCUACAUUUACAAACAAAGUUAUCUGAGAUGGUUCCUUCCAUUGUAAAUACUAUUGUCGUAUCGUUCUCUUCUUUUGUGGUUCUUUUGAAUUAUGGCUUUGUGAUAGUAACACAUAGUGCUACAUCCGACAAUAGCCCCUCUCCGAGGUUCACUACUACCUGCAUUUUCGGUAGAAGUGUAAAAGCAUUACAUGGAGGAUUGAUGUUUUUUUUUCA